UGGCUCUCGCAUCGAUGAAGAACGCAGCGAAAUGCGAUAAGUAAUGUGAAUUGCAGAAUUCAGUGAAUCAUCGAAUCUUUGAACGCACCUUGCGCUCCUUGGUAUUCCGAGGAGCAUGCCUGUUUGAGUGUCAUGGUAUUCUCAAUUCAUUCCGGAAUUUUGAAAAGAAAUCCGGGCUGAGAUUGGACAUGGAGGUUUUUUGUUGGUUACAACUGUCAAUCAACUCCUCUGAAAUGUAUUAGCAAGAAUGAAGCGCUGUCUUUGGUGUGAUAAUUAUCUGCACUGUGGAAUGGCGUAAGAAAUUCUGGCUUCCAAUGGUCUAUUUGCUUAGACAUUUUUAUGACAUCUGACCUCAAAUCAGGUAGGAUUACCCGCUGA
rnacentral:misc_RNA from 1 species